UCUGCCCCUUAAGGCGUUGCAGCUCAGCGUUCCAUGUUGCAGCUGCGUCAAAAGGCGGCAGAGAGCAAAGGUGGUCGUCUGCACCGAGUCUCCAACAUUAAUGAGGACUCGGCGUGAUGUUGACCACCGACACG